rnacentral:rRNA from 1 species
AUUGAACGCUGGCGGCAUGCCUUACACAUGCAAGUCGAACGGCAGCACGGGAGCAAUCCUGGUGGCGAGUGGCGAACGGGUGAGUAAAGUAUCGGAACGUGCCCAGUCGUGGGGGAUAACGUAGCGAAAGUUACGCUAAUACCGCAUACGAUCUAUGGAUGAAAGCGGGGGAUCGCAAGACCUCGCGCGAUUGGAGCGGCCGAUAUCAGAUUAGGUAGUUGGUGGGGUAAAGGCCCACCAAGCCGACGAUCUGUAGCUGGUCUGAGAGGACGACCAGCCUCACUGGGACUGAGACACGGCCCAGACUCCUACGGGAGGCAGCAGUGGGGAAUUUUGGACAAUGGGCGAAAGCCUGAUCCAGCCAUGCCGCGUGCGGGAUGAAGGCCUUCGGGUUGUAAACUGCUUUUGUACGGAACGAAAAGGACUGCCUUAAUACGGUGGUCCCAUGACGGUACCGUAAGAAUAAGCACCGGCUAACUACGUGCCAGCCGCCGCAGUAA